UACGUAGGGAGCAAGCGUUGUUCGGAUUUACUGGGCGUAAAGGGCGCGUAGGCGGCAAUUCAAGUCAUCUGUGAAAUCUCCGGGCUUAACUCGGAACUGUCAGAUGAUACUGCUUUGCUAGAGUGCAGAAGGGGCAAUCGGAAUUCUUGGUGUAGCGGUGAAAUGCGUAGAUAUCAAGAGGAACACCUGAGGUGAAGACGGGUUGCUGGGCUGACACUGACGCUGAGGCGCGAAAGCCAGGGGAGCAAACGGG
rnacentral:rRNA from 1 species